CUUCCCUAGAGAGCAAUUAAUGGAUUUAGCAAGUGUGCAAAUGGGUUCUCUUGUUUACUUUGCUUGACCCGUAAAUCACUCUCAAAUUGUGGAAAAUUGUGGCCGGAAUAUGUUUCUUCCAGGUAAUGAAGAUUGAAGGAAAGAGAUAUGAAUCUUCCCUGUGUUGACUGUAAAUGGAAGCCAUAAAUUCCCAGCAUUCAGAAGAAUGGAACACAAGUUCAGGAUAGCAAGGUUUUCCACAGAUCUUGUCCAGUAUAGUAGAAGAAUUAUAAUUCUUCAUAAGUUGUCUUAGUCUGCUUCUACUAUGAAGAGGAUUGUAGUGUUUUCUGUAGAGAUAUAUUGCUGCAAAUGCAAGCAGACUAUCUUGAAGGCCACUGCAGAAAUAGACGGUAUUGACUCUAUACAAGUGGAUAGCUCUAAGAACACUGUGACUGUCACUGGGGAAGCAGAUCCUGUGAAAAUAGCCAAGCAACUAAGAAAGUCCAAGAAGCAUGCAAAACUUUUGACUGUUAAAGCUGCUGGCUAAAAACAGAGGAGGUCCAAAACAACCAUCUGAUCCAUUUUAUCUCAAUAAUGGAGAUGCAAUAGUUUUCAAUUUUGUUGAGAGUGUGCUACAAUGUAAUCUGUAAUUAGGACAAGGUAGAAAGAGAAACAGUUGAUUUCAGCUAUCUGGUCUUUUCGAGGUCACAGAUAUUGUUGUUUUAAUAAUAUUCUUAAAUCAAUUCAGGCAAUGAAUUUGGGCUUGCUCCAUUAAGCUA